rnacentral:rRNA from 1 species
UACGGAAGGCAGCAGUGGGGAAUAUUGCACAAUGGGCGCAAGCCUGAUGCAGCCAUGCCGCGUGUAUGAAGAAGGCCUUCGAGUUGUAAAGUACUUUCAGUCGUGAGGAAGGUGUUAAGGUUAAUAACCUUAGCAAUUGACGUUAGCGACAGAAGAAGCACCGGCUAACUCCGUGCCAGCAGCCGCGGUAAUACGGAGGGUGCGAGCGUUAAUCGGAAUUACUGGGCGUAAAGGGCACGCAGGCGGUUAAUUAAGUUGGAUGUGAAAUCCCCGGGCUUAACCUGGGAAUGGCAUUCAAGACUGGUUAGCUAGAGUCUUGUAGAGGGGGUAGAAUUCCAUGUGUAGCGGUGAAAUGCGUAGAGAUGUGGAGGAAUACCGGUGGCGAAGGCGGCCCCUGGGACAAAGACUGACGCUCAUGUGCGAAAGCGUGGGGAGCGAAACAGGAUUAGAUA